CCCUUAGAUGUUCUGGGCCGCAUGCGCGCUACACUGACACGUUCAUCAAGUCUAUAACCUUGACCGAGAGGUCUGGGUAAUCUUUUAAAAACGUGUCGUGCUGGGGAUAGAUUAUUGCAAUUAUUAAUCUUCAACGAGGAAUUCCUAGUAAACGCAAGUCAUCAACUUGCAUUGAUUACGUCCCUGCCCUUUGUACACACCGCCCGUCGCUACUACCGAUUGAAUGAUUUAGUGAGUACCAGGGACCGAGCGCUUUGGUUGGGUUUCCUUCCCUAGCGCUUGGGAACUGUCGCAAACUUGACCAUUUAGAGGAAGUAAAAGUCGUAACA
rnacentral:rRNA from 1 species